rnacentral:rRNA from 1 species
AUAAUAAUUAGUCUUUUAAAUGGAGGCUGGAAUGAAUGAUUGGACGAGGUAAAUUCUGUCUCAUUAAAAUUAAAAUUUAAAUUUAAUUUUUUAGUUAAAAAGCUAAAAUAUUAUUAAAGGACGAGAAGACCCUAUAGAGCUUUAUAAUAAGUUAUUAAUAAAUUUUAAUUUUACUUUGUUAAUUAAGUAUUAUUUUAUUGGGGAGAUAGGAAAAUUUGUUAAACUUUUUUAAUUUUAUUACAUUUAUUUUUGAAUUUUUGAUCCUAAAUUUUAGAUUAUUAGAUUAAGUUACCUUAGGGAUAACAGCGUUAUUUUUUUUUAGAGUUCAUAUUAAUAAGAAAGAUUGC